rnacentral:rRNA from 1 species
AUUGAAUGCUGGCGGCAGGCCUAACACAUGCAAGUCGAACGGGUGGCGGACGGGUGCGUAAUGUCUGGGAAACUGCCUGAUGGAGGGGGAUCACUACUGGAAACGGUAGCUAAUACCGCAUACCAUCAGAUGUGCCCAGAUGGGAUUGGCUUGUUGGGGGGGUAACGGCUCACCAAGGCGACGAUCCCUAGCUGGUCUGAGAGGAUGACCAGCAACACUGGAACUGAGACACGGUCCAGAAUCCUACGGGAGGAAGCAGUGGGGAAUAUUGCACAAUGGGCGCAAGCCUGAUGCAGCCAUGCCGCGUGUAUGAAGAAGGCCGUCGGGUUGUAAAGUACUUUCAGCGGGGAGGCGUUACCCGCAGAAGAAGCACCGGCUAACUCCGUGCCAGCAGCCGCGGUAAUAC